rnacentral:lncRNA from 1 species
UUCUGUUAUUAUAUUAUUAUAAUGUGUUGAACGAACAUGGUGUUAACACCUAACGAGUUUAUUAUCGUUUAGGAAUAUAAUUUGAUUACAUGGUUAGACAUUUAAACCAUACGUGAUGUAGUGUUGAUUAUGACUGAUCAUGUCAUGUUAACAUAUGUAUAUAGGGUAUUGUGAUUUGGAUAUCAACGGUUUAAUCUAUGCGCAAAGCAAGUCUUUCGG